GCUUACGGCCAUACCACCCUGAGCACGCCCAAUCUUGUCUGAUCUCGGAAGCUAAGCAGGGUUGGGCUUGGUUAGUACUCGGAUGGGAGACUGCCUGGGAAUACCGGGUGCUGUAAGCU
ensembl:rRNA 5S_rRNA 5S ribosomal RNA